CUGGCUUGUGGCCGCCCCGCGUUCCUCGCGCCGUUGCUUUUUGCUCCUUCGCUGUCGGCUCUUCCUCUCCUUGUGCCGCCGAUUCCCCCGUGUUGGAUUGUUCCCCACCCUAGGGCCGUGCGCUGGGUUUAGCCCGUCGUGAGACCGGUU
rnacentral:ncRNA from 1 species